UUCCCAGUUAGUCUACACUCCUGAUCACUAUACCUUCCCGUCAUCUUUUAACUUUACCCAACAACCCAUGUGGUUUAACUUGAAAGGUAUCAAUUAUGAUGUUGAAGUUUAAGAUGACACAAACAAAAUAUUGCAGACAAAGAGUCAAUUGAUUGCUUUCCUUUGAGCCUCAAUGAUAAUACUUAGUGAUGGAUUUUAUGGGUCAUCUGCACUUACUGCUUCUGGUCUAUGUUGUUGUUCUUGUGGAAUUUCUCGCUGUGGGCAUCCCCUUAUCUAAGAAAUGAAAGCAAAGCUCAACAAUUCGGGAUAAAAUAAUUUCGCAUGUCGUGCCAUGGUUUACUGGCGAGGCUGCUCAAGGAGAUUCAAUCUGAAGAUAUGAAAGAUGUUAUCAAGGAAGAUGAGGAUGAAGAAGAUAAAGAGGAGAUGACAGAAAAGAAUGUGAGAUUUUUUGCCUGCUUUUACAAAGUGAUUCGACUUUUUCCUGUUAAUCUUUGCCAUGUUAUUCCAGUUAAAGAGGGUUAUUAGAUUUUUACAAAUUCUGUAUGCAAAGUAAAAGUUAAUGUGUUUCCCUUCUCAGUUGCCACAUGUUAAUAGAGGGUAUUGUAGCCAUAAAGAUUGCUUUUAGAAGUUAAUUUGAGUGUGUUUCUCUCACAUCAAAGGCUUGAACCACUAAAAUAGAGUGGGUGAUGAAAAUUGGCAAAGCAACUAAUGAACUAACUCUUUUCUUCGUUCUUUUGUCAUGUAUUUUCUUGAUAUUUUAGGGUCUUUAUUUUAAGGCAUUCUGUUUCAUGAAACUUUUAAUUUCCAUAAAAUUAUCGGAGUCUUUGCAUAUAAACUAAUUGUUAACUGAUUUGAUAUGUUCUUUUAUUAUAUUCUUAACUGAUGCGAUAUUUUGGUUAAUAUCAUUUUCAUUGAUAAAUAGUUCCCUGUUAUAAUUCUAUUUUCUCAUCUCCAUAACUUUAAAAAGUUGGUUCACUUUGUGCAAUCUCUGGUAAGUUUUUGAUGCAAGAAAGUGGGGUUUGGUUUCACGCUGUUGAUCUGUUUAUUUUUAUUUUUAAGUGGUAAUUCUGAUGGCAUCUUCUGAGAUUUUGUAAUAUUGACCUACAAUCCUAAAUUCCGGAUGUGAGCAUGCCACUAAUAAGCAAAGAACAGUCCAAUUCAUGAUAUAGGAUACUGCAGUAAAUGUUUUUGAUAAACUGAUACCAUUUUCCAUCACAUUGUUUCCCAAUAGACCUGAAGUUCUUCAUAGGCAUGCGGGAUAGAAAAUCUUCUCUAAAAAAAAGACAGAUCAGAGAUGACGGAAAGAUUAGUUAGUUACCAAGGUGCAUCUAGCAUUUAACAUUAGAUUGAUAUUUCCAGAUCUGUUAUCAAGUGGUCCUUGAGAAAUAGACGAAAUUGAAAUUUACAUAUCUGGAAAAUGAAGGUUCACAAUUGUUGUGGUUGGCGCAGAGGUUCUGAUAAAAAAAUGUUACUUUCUUCUAAAUAGAGCGUUAAUCAUACCCUUCAUACUGUGAGAACAUGCAUUUGUUUUUUAUAUUGCUGGUGUACUCGUAAGAACUGAUCUUGGGUGCUUUCUUUUUUAUUAUGAUGUGAUCCCUUUUGUCAGUUACUCCUUUCAUCCCUUUUAUAGGGCAGUGCAUCAAAUUUUGGCAAUUAAGGUUCUUUAACCUUGGCGGUAAACUUUAACUUUGGCCAAUCUACGGACUACAAAGAAUUACACUAACUUGAGCAUUAGUAUCUUUUCCAACCUUGAUAAUCAUUAUAUAUAUAUAAGCCGUAUAUUGCUACUUCCAGAUGUUAUAUCUUUUACUUUGAAAACUUCUUCGUUUCACCAACUUUUGUACAUGACAAAAGGGAGUUGAUUUUUACUCAUGUACCACAUUUGGCUCAUAAGUUUCUGGUUCUAUUUUCCUUAUUACUUGCCAACAGAUUGGUCUAUUUUGUUUAGAGUUAUAACAUCAGAAGGCAAAAAGUUUUUUUCGUAUUGUAGUUUUCCUGAUGUGCAGACUUAAAUGCAUGUGAUAACAGUUGGUUAACACAAAAUAGAUUGGACAAAUUGAAGUGCUACUCUUCUGCUGCAGCCAUAUUUUUUAUCAUGAAGCCCAAAUUUCCUCUAAUGAUGACGACCCCUGAAAGAGCUUCACGUUCAGGAGAUCAGAUGGCCUUGGUGCAUACACUACAAUACUACAGUGGUUGAAGAUUUCUUUGGUUUUGGAGGUUCUGUGGAAGAACUAAACAUUUUACUUCAGUUGUUUAAGAUGUAGAAGCUUCAAUUAGUCUUUUCUUUGUUUUUAAUAUUCCUUGCUAUUUUAGCAGCGUCUUCUUAUUCAAAUCUCUUAAGUCUUUUAUAUUCCUCGGAAUCCAAUUAUGUGGUUAUUUAUAAUCUGUCUUCGAACUUUUAGUUUGAGUGUUCUUAAAUAACACGCUUUCCUGCUGUCGAACCUUUUCUAUUA